AUUGAACGCUGGCGGCAGGCCUAACACAUGCAAGUCGAGCGGGGUUUUCGGACCUAGCGGCGGACGGGUGAGUAAUGCGUAGGAAGCUACCCGAUAGAGGGGGAUACCAGUUGGAAACGACUGUUAAUACCGCAUAAUGUCUACGGACCAAAGUGUGGGACCUUCGGGCCACAUGCUAUCGGAUGCGCCUACGUGGGAUUAGCUAGUUGGUGGGGUAAUGGCUCACAAAGGCGACGAUCCCUAGCUGGUUUGAGAGGAUGAUCAGCCACACUGGAACUGAGACACGGUCCAGACUCCUACGGGAGGCAGCAGUGGGGAAUAUUGGACAAUGGGCGGAAGCCUGAUCCAGCCAUGCCGCGUGUGUGAAGAAGGCCUUUUGGUUGUAAAGCACUUUAAGCGAGGAGGAGGCUCUUAAGGUUAAUACCCUUGAUGAGUGGACGUUACUCGCAGAAUAAGCACCGGCUAACUCUGUGCCAGCCGCCGCCGUAAAAC
rnacentral:rRNA from 1 species